rnacentral:tRNA from 1 species
UCCCGUGUGGCUCAGUUGGAAGAGCAUGGUUUUUGCAAUGCCAGGGUUGCGGGUUCGAUUCCCACGGGGG